UACGGGGGGGGCAAGCGUUGUUCGGAAUUACUGGGCGUAAAGGGCUCGUAGGUGGCCAACUAAGUCAGACGUGAAAUCCCUCGGCUUAACCGGGGAACUGCGUCUGAUACUGGAUGGCUUGAGUUUGGGAGAGGGAUGCGGAAUUCCAGGUGUAGCGGUGAAAUGCGUAGAUAUCUGGAGGAACACCGGUGGCGAAAGCGGCGCGCUGGACCACUACUGACGCUGAGGAACGAAAGCUAGGGGAGCAAACAGG
rnacentral:rRNA from 1 species